rnacentral:misc_RNA from 1 species
AUUUCUUUUGUGAACAGUGGCACUCUCGAUUUUAAAUACGAAAUAAAUAUUUCGAUAUUGCUUAUGCAUUUUCUAACAAAAUUGUAAUAAAGUUUUCAAAAAAUUUGAUACAUGGAAAUAACAUUAGCUGGACAUGCCGUUUGGGGACGGCGGAUGUGUGAACGGAAUGUCGCCUGUUUAAAUAGAGCUUGUUCAGGUCAUUUUCUGAUGAACUUAUUACCAGAUCCCAAGGUGCGAUGGAUUAAAAAACUAAUCAGUCUACUCUUGAUGGAAAAGUGAAAGAAAUCGACAUAGAUGCGAUAAUUGUUGAAGAAUUAGGUCAAUUUGGCUCGUACCAACUACGAACAAUCGCUUUUCUUGUAGUAUUUAUUACACUAUGUGGAUUACAUAGUGAGGCGGUAUUUUCAGCGGCUAGAAUCAAGACUAGAUGCCGAAUCCCAGAGUGUGACAUUUGAUUUAGAAGUUAUAGAUUUUAACAACAACUGGGUUUCAAAUGCAAUACCCAAAACUAGUAGUGGUUCCUUAGAUAACUGUCGACGAUUUGUUCAAAAUGUUUCUUAUAUUCCAUCCAGUAAUGAUUUUUGUCCAGCUACUAUGUUUGAUCAACAAAUCAUAACGGAAUGUGAAGAAUAUAUUUACGAAAAUCGUAAUACAGUUGUUUAUGAUGAUUUGCCUCAACUAUUUUCAACGGAGGCUACUAUCCUACAGCAUUUAUUCUAGGUACAGAAUUAGUUGGUUCGAAAUAUCGUGUGUUCAUCGGUUUAUUAUUGAACAUCGGCUUAGCGUUAGGCGAAAUCGUAUUGGGACUAGUUGCUUGGGCUGUUCCUCAUUGGCGAAAUUUAACUUUACUAGCUUAUAUUCCUACACUUACCAUCGUUUUAUUUUGGGUCGCUUAUACAAAUCCUGUGCGGUGGUACAUUAGUAAAGGAUUAUAUAAAGAGGCUGAAAAUACCUUAAUAAAUAUUGCUCGAGUAAAUAAGAAACAUUUAUCAGAUAAUUUAAUAACAAUCUUAAAGCGGGCGAGAGAAGAACAAAUGAAGAAAGAAGGUUUAGAAAGAGAAGAAAGAAAAAAGGAACCCUGGUUGGUAGUGCAAGUGUGGCAACACAAGCCGGUCUUGAUCCGAUGUCUAGUGUCACCAGUGUGGUGGAUCACAUUCACUUUUAUUUACUACGCAUUAGCAAUAAAUUCAGUAGGUAUACUUGGAAUUCGGCAACCCAUACAUAACGUUUAUAUAGCAGUUGCGGUAAUUGAUAUUCCCGGACACAUCAUUGGGUAUCUUCUGUUGCAUAAGGUUGGAAGAAAACCUGUGUUAUCGGGAGGAUUCUUUGUAUGUGCUGCAUCACAGAUAUCAUAUCUCUUUGUACCUAAUGAGUUAUAUGCAGUGUCUCUCACAUUAUACUUGAUUGGCAAAUGUUCUUCCUCAGUCAUGAUUAUAACGACGUAUGUGUAUACGUCUGAGCUGUACCCCACCAGGUACAGACAAAGUCUCGUGGCCCUCUCUUCCAUGAUUGGCAGGAUUGGAUCGACUGUCUCCCAUAUUACUCCGGCUCUUGGUGACCAGCUUCCAUACAUACUGUAUGCAUGUUUAGCUACUAUCGCCGGGACGCUUGUAUUCAUCACGCCAGAAACCUUUGGCUCCAAAUACACAGACACAAUGGAAGAAGCCUCCGAGCUAGGAUCAAUAUUUCACAAGAGCAAAAGACAAGAAAGUGAUAACUAGAUUAGAUUGAAUUAGGUAGUCCUCGACUUAAUUUUUUAAAUAAACAAGCUUCUGUUAUUUAA